rnacentral:rRNA from 1 species
UAUUGAACGCAUAUUGCGGCCACGGGUCCGUCCUGUGGCCACGCCCGUCUGAGGGUCGGCGACGUUCUACCCAUCGCUGGGAGGCUCUGGCCCAGCGCUUUGAGCUUUCGUAGCCGAACUGCGGCUCCGUGGCUUGAAAUGCAGACCUGAGUAUGAUGAAGCAAAGUCCUUCUCCAUGCUGCUGAUCGCUGCUGCUGUCCUCGUGCGAGCAAAGGACAUGGCCCGGAUUGAUGCUGUCUUUGCGAGCGAGCGAGCGGUUUUGGCAGGGAAAAAGGAAAGGAUCUUAUUUCCGACCUCAGAUCGGACGAGAUUACCCGCUGAAUUUAAGCAUAUCAC